rnacentral:rRNA from 1 species
CACUCCGCCUGGGGAGUACGGCCGCAAGGCUGAAACUCAAAGGAAUUGACGGGGGCCUGCACAAGCGGUGGAGCAUGUGGUUUAAUUCGACGCAACGCGAAGAACCUUACCAGGUCUUGACAUCUUCGGACAGCCCAAGAGAUUGGGUCUUCCCUUCGGGGACCGAAUGACAGGUGGUGCAUGGUUGUCGUCAGCUCGUGUCGUGAGAUGUUGGGUUAAGUCCCGUAACGAGCGCAACCCCUGAUCUUAGUUGCCAGCAUUGAGUUGGGCACUCUAGGAUGACUGCCGGUGACAAACCGGAGGAAGGCGGGGAUGACGUCAAAUCAUCAUGCCCCUUAUGACCUGGGCUACACACGUGCUACAAUGGAUGGUACAAAGGGAAGCCAAACCGCGAGGUCGAGCUAAUCCCAUAAAGCCAUUCUCAGUUCGGAUUGUAGGCUGCAACUCGCCUGCAUGAAGCCGGAAUCGCUAGUAAUCGCGGAUCAGAAUGCCGCGGUGAAUACGUUCCCAGGCCUUGUACACACCGCCCGUCACACCACGAGAGUUGGCAACACCCGAAGUCGGUG